rnacentral:rRNA from 1 species
GACGAACGCUGGCGGCGUGCUUAACACAUGCAAGUCGAACGGAAAGGCCCUGCUUUUGUGGGGUGCUCGAGUGGCGAACGGGUGAGUAACACGUGGGUAACCUGCCCUUGACUUUGGGAUAACUUCAGGAAACUGGGGCUAAUACCGGAUAGGAGCUCCUGCUGCAUGGUGGGGGUUGGAAAGUUUCGGCGGUUGGGGAUGGACUCGCGGCUUAUCAGCUUGUUGGUGGGGUAGUGGCUUACCAAGGCUUUGACGGGUAGCCGGCCUGGGAGGGUGACCGGCCACAUUGGGACUGAGAUACGGCCCAGACUCCUACGGGAGGCAGCAGUGGGGAAUAUUGCACAAUGGGCGGAAGCCUGAUGCAGCAACGCCGCGUGCGGGAUGACGGCCUUCGGGUUGUAACCCGCUUUCGCCUGUGACGAAGCGUGAGUGACGGUAAUGUGUAAAGAAGCACCGGCUAACUACGUG